rnacentral:rRNA from 1 species
GACAGAGGCCCCAAGCGUUAGGCGGAAUCACUGGGCUUAAAGCGUGUGUAGGCGGAUCGUUAAGUGUCUUGUGAAAUCCCACGGCUCACCCGUGGAACUGCUGGGCAUACUGGCGAUCUUGGGCCAACUAGGGGCAGCCGGAACAAGCGGUGGAGCGGUGAAAUGCGUAGAUAUCGCUUGGAACGCCGAAGGUGAAAACAGGCUGCUGGGGUUGCGCCGACGCUGAGACACGAAAGCCAGGGGAGCAAACGGGG